CUACGGGAGGCUGCAGUGAGGAAUAUUGCACAAUGGGGGGAACCCUGAUGUAGCAACGCCGCGUGGAGGAUGACGCAUUUCGGUGUGUAAACUCCUUUUAUAUGUCAAGAAAAUGACGGUAGCAUAUGAAUAAGCACCGGCUAACUCGCGUGCCAGCAGCCGCGGUAAUACGGAGGGUGCAAGCGUUACUCGGAAUCACUGGGCGUAAAGGACGCGUAGGCGGGUUGGAAAGUCAGGUGUGAAAUCCUACAGCUUAACUGUAGAACUGCACUUGAAACUUCUAAUCUAGAGUAUGGGAGGGGGAGAUGGAAUUAGUGGUGUAGGGGUAAAAUCCGUAGAUAUCACUAGGAAUACCUAAAGCGAAGGCGAUCUCCUGGAACAUUACUGACGCUAAGGCGUGAAAGCGUGGGGAGCAAACAGGAUUAGAUACCCUAGUAGUC
rnacentral:rRNA from 1 species